UCUCUCUCGUGUAUGUCAUCAGUUGUAUUCUCAACCGGACAAUAUAGAAAUAGUUGAUGCUGAGCCGCUCGGACAGUCUUGAAAAGGCGCAGUUGAAUUGAAGUAUUCGACCAGAGUGGUUCUUCAGGAUAACCCAAUCCAGACUAGUGAAUAUUUCAAAGUGUUCAUCGUGAAGAAUGGGUAAAGGCAAAGGUGGCGGUGGAGCAGCAGCAGCAGCCGGAGCAAAUCAAACACAAAAAGGUGGCGGAGGAGGGAAACCGAAGGGUGGAAAUGAAAAUAAAGGUGGCGCUGGCGGUAAGGGAGGAGACAAAGGAGGAAAAAAGGGUGGCAAUAAAAAGUAGCGACGGUGGCAUUGCCAGCUUCAAUCCUUUCCCCGGGCAGCACCCGAAACUAACGUCUUUCCGAAAACGAUAAAUUGGACUGUGAAAUUUGAGACUACUAUUUUUUUGGAACAAACAAAUUAUUGUUAUUUUUGUAUUUAAUUUGUGUAUUAUCUUAAGAGGCUUUAAAAUUAGGUGAAAGAACGAAUAAAAAGACGUAAUAGUAUUAAACAGUACGUUCGGUGACUACA